rnacentral:rRNA from 1 species
GACGAACGCUGGCGGCGUGCUUUACACAUGCAAGUCGAACGGUGAAGCUCCAGCUUGCUGGAGUGGAUCAGUGGCGAACGGGUGAGUAACACGUGAGCAACCUGCCCCUGACUCUGGAAUAAGCGCUGGAAACGGCGUCUAAUACUGGAUACGAGAAGGGUCCGCAUGGGCACUUUCUGGAAAGUUUUUCGGUUGGGGAUGGGCUCGCGGCCUAUCAGCUUGUUGGUGAGGUAAUGGCUCACCAAGGCGACGACGGGUAGCCGGCCUGAGAGGGCGACCGGCCACACUGGGACUGAGACACGGCCCAGACUCCUACGGGAGGCAGCAGUGGGGAAUAUUGCACAAUGGGCGAAAGCCUGAUGCAGCGACGCCGCGUGAGGGAUGACGGCCUUCGGGUUGUAAACCUCUUUCAGCAGGGAAGAAGCGAAAGUGACGGUACCUGCAGAAGAAGCACCGGCUAACUACGUG